ACAACAGGGGAUUGCCCUAGUAACGGCGAGUGAAGCGGCAACAGCUCAAAUUUGAAAUCUGGCUCUUUUAGAGUCCGAGUUGUAAUUUGCAGAGGGCGCUUUGGCUUUGGCAGCGGUCCAAGUUCCUUGGAACAGGACGUCACAGAGGGUGAGAAUCCCGUACGUGGUCGCUGGCUAUUGCCGUGUAAAGCCCCUUCGACGAGUCGAGUUGUUUGGGAAUGCAGCUCUAAAUGGGAGGUACAUUUCUUCUAAAGCUAAAUAUUGGCCAGAGACCGAUAGCGCACAAGUAGAGUGAUCGAAAGAUGAAAAGCACUUUGGAAAGAGAGUCAAACAGCACGUGAAAUUGUUGAAAGGGAAGCGCUUGCAGCCAGACUUGCUUACAGUUGCUCAUCCGGGUUUCUACCCGGUGCACUCUUCUGUAGGCAGGCCAGCAUCAGUUUGGGCGGUAGGAUAAAGGUCUCUGUCACGUACCUCCUUUCGGGGAGGCCUUAUAGGGGAGACGACAUACUACCAGCCUGGACUGAGGUCCGCGCAUCUGCUAGGAUGCUGGCGUAAUGGCUGUAAGCGGCCCGUCUUGAAACACGGACCAAGGAGUCUAACAUCUAUGCGAGUGUUUGGGUGUCAAGCCCGAGCGCGUAAUGAAAGUGAACGGAGGUGGGAACCCGCAAGGGUGCACCAUCGACCGAUCCUGAUGUCUUCGGAAGGAUUUGAGUAAGAGCAUGGCUGUUGGGACCCGAAAGAUGGUGAACUAUGCUUGAAUAGGGUGAAGCCAGAGGAAACUCUGGUGGAGGCUCGCAGCGGUUCUGACGUGCAAAUCGAUCGUCAAAUUUGGGCAUAGGGGCGAAAGACUAAUCGAACUAUCUAGUAGCUGGUUCCUGCCGAGCUUCCCCCCCCCGUGAGGAAUAG
rnacentral:rRNA from 1 species